rnacentral:rRNA from 1 species
UACGGGGGGUGCGAGCGUUGUCCGGAAUCACUGGGCGUAAAGGGCGCGUAGGUGGUUUGAUAAGGGUGUGGUGAAAGUCCGGGGCUCAACCCCGGAUCUGCCGUGCCGACUGUCAAACUCGAGGACUGUAGAGGCAGACGGAAUUCCGGGUGUAGCGGUGGAAUGCGUAGAGAUCUGGAGGAAGACCGGUGGCGAAGGCGGUCUGCUGGGCAGUUUCUGACACUGAGGCGCGACAGCGUGGGGAGCAAACAGG